AUACGUACCGUACGAACGUUAUUCGGAAUCACUGGGCUUAAAGGGUGCGUAGGCGGUGCGGUCAGUUGGGUGUGAAAUCCCUCGGCUCAACCGAGGAACUGCGCCCAAUACUGCCGCACUCGAGGGAGACAGAGGUAAGCGGAACUGAUGGUGGAGCGGUGAAAUGCGUUGAUAUCAUCAGGAACACCAGUAGCGAAGGCGGCUUACUGGGUCUCUUCUGACGCUGAGGCACGAAAGCUAGGGUAGCGAACGGGAUUAGAAACCCCAGUAGUCC
rnacentral:rRNA from 1 species